rnacentral:rRNA from 1 species
AACGAACGCUGGCGGCAUGCCUAACACAUGCAAGUCGAACGAGACCUUCGGGUCUAGUGGCGCACGGGUGCGUAACGCGUGGGAAUCUGCCCUGGGGGUGCGGAAUAACUCGGAGAAAUCCGUGCUAAUACCGCAUAAUGUCUUCGGACCAAAGAUUUAUCGCCCUGGGAUGAGCCCGCGUAGGAUUAGCUAGUUGGUGGGGUAAAGCCUACCAAGGGCGACGAUCCCUUAGCUGGUCUGAGAGGAUGAUCAGCCACACUGGGACUGAGACACGGCCCAGACUCCUACGGGAGGCAGCAGUGGGGAAUAUUGGACAAUGGGCGAAAGCCUGAUCCAGCAAUGCCGCGUGAGUGAUGAAGGCCCUAGGGUUGUAAAGCUCUUUACCCGGGAUGAUAAUGACAGUACCGGGAGAA